rnacentral:rRNA from 1 species
AUUGAACGCUAGCGGCAGGCUUAACACAUGCAAGUCGAACGAGUGGCGGACGGGUGAGUAAUGCUUGGGAAUCUAGCUUAUGGAGGGGGAUAACUACUGGAAACGGUAGCUAAUACCGCAUACCAUCAGAUGAACCAAUAUGGGAUUAGCUUGUAGGUGAGGUAACGGCUCACCUAGGCGACGAUCCCUAGCUGGUCUGCGAGGAUGAUCAGCCACACUGGGACUGAGACACGGCCCAGACUCCUACGGGAGGCAGCAGUGGGGAAUAUUUCACAAUGGGCGCAAGCCUGAUGCAGCCAUGCCGCGUGUAUGAAGAAGGCCCUAGGGUUGUAAAGUACUUUCAGUCGGGAGGCGUUACCGACAGAAGAAGCACCGGCUAACUCCGUGCCAGCAGCCGCGGUAAUAC